UGCAUUGGACCUGGAUAGAAAGUAACUUGA
rnacentral:piRNA from 1 species